GAAUCCCGUCAACGAGAGUCAGAGGAAGCGUUUCCGGUUACAUUUUACAUUUUAAAAAAUAAAAGCCUGCUGGAAGCUCCAGUCAGAAACCAGAGAGAAUCCAGUCUCUGAUUCAUCCGCUCCGUCGCCUCACAGACAGAAGGAACCGGGAGCUGUCCAUGGUGGAGCACGUGACCCCAACAAGAAACGUGGACAACAGAUGAGUACUUUCUUUUUUCUGACAAGAACAUUUUCAGUUUUCUACAAACUACCCCCCUGGGAUAGGCUCCAGCAACCAAGAGACCAUAAAAUGGAAAAAGUUGAUUCAGGGAACUGGAUAGAUGAAAUUAAAGAAUAAGUCAUGGUCUCCUCAUCGUCUUCCUCUCCUCCACCGUUCUGAUGCGGGCUACUUCCUCCAUGCUUCCUCUGUGCGGUCUAACAUGCUCCUCUUUCAUCUCUUUCACAGUUCUCCCUCCAUCUCUCCAUCACACCUGUGGAAUCUGUCCACUUGUUUCCAUCCGUCCCGGACAUAGACUGUAUAUAAAAUAAUAAAAUAUUAUUAAUAAUAAUAUUGUUUUUACAGUCUAUGGUCCCGGAUCAGCCUAAUGUGCUGCACAUCCUUCCAUCUGUUUUGUUGAAGUUAAAACUCAGGUUUGUUAAAGUCUACAAAAUUCUGUUGAACUAUUAUUUAGUUAUUACAACAAAAACAAACUGACCUUCUAAAAUCAAAUAUGAAUUAUUUCUUUCAAAAUAGUCUUUUAUUUUGAAACUUGAAAAGCAGCAAUAGUUGCAACAAAACCCCCUGAAAGGAAUGUUUCCAAUUAACAUAUUUUACUCAGAAAAAUAUUAUUUAUUUAUUUAUUGUUUACAAUAUGCUUCAACUGUAUCCAGCAUUCAAAGGGAAAAUCAAAAAGGUAAUUCUAACUGGAAUUAUACGGAGGUAAAUUUGGGCCAAUAUCAAUUGAAACCCAAAUAAAAGAAAUUGAAAAAAAAUUGGUUUGGUCAAAAAAA